rnacentral:rRNA from 1 species
GACGAACGCUGGCGGCGUGCUUAACACAUGCAAGUCGAACGGAAAGGCCCUGCUUUUGUGGGGUGCUCGAGUGGCGAACGGGUGAGUAACACGUGAGUAACCUGCCCUUGACUUUGGGAUAACUUCAGGAAACUGGGGCAAAUACCGGAUAGGAGCUCCUGCUGCAUGGUGGGGGUUGGAAAGUUUCGGCGGUUGGGGAUGGACUCGCGGCUUAUCAGCUUGUUGGUGGGGUAGUGGCUUACCAAGGCUUUGACGGGUAGCCGGCCUGAGAGGGUGACCGGCCACAUUGGGACUGAGGUACGGCCCAGACUCCUACGGGAGGCAGCAGUGGGGAAUAUUGCACAAUGGGCGGAAGCCUGAUGCAGCAACGCCGCGUGCGGGAUGACGGCCUUCGGGUUGUAAACCGCUUUCGCCUGUGACGAAGCGUGAGUGACGGUAAUGGGUAAAGAAGCACCGGCUAACUACGUG